UUGAUUUAGUUAUUAUUAAUUUUAAAUUGUUGUUAAAUUUUUAAUAAAUGUAAUUUAUAAUAAUUAAUUUUAUUAAUUUAUUUAUUUGAUUAUAGUGUAAUAGUACUGUGAAGGAAUUAAUUAAAUUUAAUUAUAGAAAUUUUUAUAAAAAUUUACCUUUUGUAUCAGGGAUUAACAAAUAAUAAUAUUAUUAUUUAUUUCUCGAAUAUGAAAUUGAGCUAAUUAAAUUAUUUUUUAUUGUUGAAUAAAUAUAAUUUAGAUUUAAUUAGAUAUGAAAUGUUAUUCGUAAUUUAAUAUAUCUAGUUGUUAGAUUUUUGAAAUUUAUUUUUAAUUUAUUUAAAGGGAUAAUUUUUUAAUUUAGUUAUAAAUUUAAUUAGUUUUAUUUAAAAUAUAUUGAUUUAAUAGUAUUAAUUAUUUAAAGUGUGUUUAUACUUAAGUAAUUUAAUUAUAUAUUUUAUAUUUUUAACUAUUAUAAUUAAUUUUUUUUAUAAAAAAUAAUGUUAGUAUUAGUAUAUAAAUAAUGUAAUUAUUUUUUUUUAAAAUUUUAAAUUUAAAUAAAGGAAUUCAGCAAAAAAAUUUUUCGCCUGUAUAUCAAAAACAUGUUUUAAUGAAUAUUAAUAUUAAAUUUGCCCUGCCCAAUGAUUAAUGUUUUAAUGGCCGCAGUAAAUUGACUGUGCAAAGGUAGCAUAAUAAUUUGUCUUUUAAUUGAGGGCUGGAAUGAAUGGGUGGACGUAAAAAUUUCUGUCUCUAUUUUUAUGUAAUUGAAUUUUACUUUUAAGUUAAAAGGCUAAUUGUAUAAUUAAAUAUUAUUAAGGGACGAAAAGACCCUAUCAAGUUUUAUAAUAUUUAAAUGAUUAUUUUCAUUAUUAAUUUUUAUUAUUAUUUUUCUGGGGUGGAAUUAAUAUAAAACUAUUAAAAAUUUUAUAAUUUAAUAAUUUAUUAUUGAUCUUUUUUAUUACUAAUUAAUAAAUUACUGUAGGGGUAACAGCAUAAUUAUUUUGGUAAGUUCAAAUUUAUAAAAUAGAUUAUGACCUCGAUGUUGGAUUAAAUUUACCUAAAAAUUAAUGAAGCAGUUAUUAAGGUUAGUCUGUUCGACUAUUAAAAAUUUACAUGAUCUGAGUUCAGACCGGCGUGAGCCAGGUCAGUUUUUAUCUUUAAUAAUUAUAUUGAAAAUUUAUUUAGUACGAGAGGACCAAUA
rnacentral:rRNA from 1 species